rnacentral:tRNA from 2 species
GCGCUCGUAGCUCAGCUGGAUAGAGCACUAGACUACGAAUCUAGGGGUCGGGAGUUCGAAUCUUCCCGAGCGCACCA